AGAACGAACGCUGGCGGCAUGCCUAACACAUGCAAGUCGAACGAGACCUUCGGGUCUAGUGGCGCACGGGUGCGUAACGCGUGGGAAUCUGCCCUUGGGUUCGGGAUAACAGUCGGAAACGACUGCUAAUACCGGAUGAUGACUUCGGUCCAAAGAUUUAUCGCCCAGGGAUGAGCCCGCGUAGGAUUAGCUAGUUGGUAAGGUAAAGGCUCACCAAGGCGACGAUCCUUAGCUGGUCUGAGAGGAUGACCAGCCACACUGGGACUGAGACACGGCCCAGACUCCUACGGGAGGCAGCAGUGGGGAAUAUUGGACAAGUGGGCGAAAGCCUGAUCCAGCAAUGCCGCGUGAGUGAUGAAGGUCCUUAGGGUAGUAAAGCUCGUUUUACCCGGGAUGUAAUAAGUAGACAGGUACCGGGAAGAACGUAACGCCCCGGACGUAACCUCCGACGACCGA
rnacentral:rRNA from 1 species